AACCCAUAGUGAGGGCACCUUCUCAAUAGACCCUUGUAUCUCUCCCAGGCAUCAUAGAGUGUUUCUAAAUCCAUUUGCACAAAAGAAGAAAUAUCAUUCCUUAAUUU
rfam:Gossypium arboreum cultivar AKA8401 contig_71117_1, whole genome shotgun sequence.